rnacentral:pre_miRNA from 1 species
CUCGGAUUAUAUUGAGGUUUUGUUUCCGCCUUUAUUGAGAGCCAACAUGCUGUGAGCAAUUUGAUUCACAGAGAGAGAACACCUUGAAGAAUUGGGCUAUACUUGGACGCCAAUGGGCGAGACACUCAUGUCCCCUUAGUAAGUGGCCUUGUGUCCACGUAUGGCUCGAUUCCUCAAGGUGCUCUCCUUAUAUUAGUGAAACUGCUCAUGGCACAUUGACUCUCGAUAAAGACGAAAGACAAAAUCUCAAUACAACCCGAA